GGAGGGAUGGCUGAGCUGGUUUAAGGCGCUCGACUCGAAAUCGAGUGUGGGCUUUCAGGCCCACCGUGGGUUCGAAUCCCACUCCCUCUG
rnacentral:tRNA from 1 species